GCGGCCGAUCGCCUUGAGUUGAUAUGGCUCAGAUGAACGUUGGCGACGUGGAUUAGGCAUGCAAGUCGGACGGGGCCGCAAGGUACCCGUGGCGCAAGGGUGAGUAAGGCGACGGUAACCAACCCCGGGGCUGGCCAUAGCCGAGGGAAACCUCGGGUAAUUGCCAGCGACGCGACGAGUCGGCAUCGGCUCGUCGCCAAAGGUGUGAUUCCGCCCCGGGACGGGCCGUCGUGGUAUCAGGUUGUUGGCGGGGUAGCGGCCCACCAAGCCUCUGACGCCUACCCGGCGUGCGAGCGUGGCCCGGCACACUGGGACUGAGACACUGCCCAGACUCCUACGGGAGGCUGCAGUCGAGAAUCUUCGGCAAUGGGCGCAAGCCCGACCGAGCGACGUCGCGUGGAGGACGAAGGCCUUCGGGUUGUAAACUCCUGUCGGGGGGGAACAAGGGCCGGCGAAGAGCCGGACUUGAGUGAUCCCCGGAGGAAGCACGGGCUAAGUUCGUGCCAGUAGCCGCGGUAAGACGAACCGUGCGAACGUUAUUCGGAUUCACUGGGCUUAAAGGGCGCGUAGACGGGCGACCGCGUCGAGUGCUGAAAUCCCCCGGCUCAACCGGGGAACGGGCCUCGAAACGGGUGGCCUCGAGUCGAGGAGGGGGACCUGGAACGUCCGGUGGAGCGGUGAAAUGCGUUGAGAUCGGACGGAACGCCGACGGCGAAAGCAAGGUCCUGGACUCGGACUGACGUUGAGGCGCGAAAGCCAGGGGAGCGAACGGGAUUA
rnacentral:rRNA from 1 species